rnacentral:rRNA from 1 species
UACACUGACGUCGCGACGCAUAUCAAUAAGCGGAGGAAAAGAAACUAACAAGGAUUCCCUUAGUAACGGCGAGUGAAGCGGGAAGAGCUCAAAUUUGAAAUCUUCAAGGUUCUACCUUGACGAAUUGUAGUUUAAAGAAGUGUUUUCUGUUGAAGUGGAGUGCAAAAGUUCUUUGGAAUAGGACAUCAUAGAGGGUGAGAAUCCCGUAUUUGGUCAUUCCUUCUAGCUGUGUGAUACACUUUCAAAGAGUCGGAUUGUUUGGGAAUGCAGUCCAAAAUGGGUGGUAAAUUUCAUCUAAAGCUAAAUAUUGGCGAGAGACCGAUAGCGAACAAGUACCGUGAGGGAAAGAUGAAAAGAACUUUGAAAAGAGAGUUAAACAGUACGUGAAAUUGUCAAAAGGGAAGCGUUUGACACCAGUGUUGUUUUUCUCGAAAAUCAAUUAUAAAUGUUUUGUUUCUGAGGAGUGAUGACUUCAUCGGCUUCCUUCUCUCUUCACGAAACUUUUGUAAUGCACUUUUCGGUUAACAAGUCAACAUCAAUUUCUUUUGUUGUAAAAGAGUAUUCGGAAGGUGGCUUUCUUUUCGGAGAAAGUGUUUAUAGCCCUAUACUUCUACAAUCGGAGAGAUUGAGGUCUGCAGCGUAGAUCCUUCGGGGUUAGAUACACUUGUGCUAAGUUAUAGCUUUUCAUAGACAACUUGUUGACUAUGUUUAGUCUUGUAGCUUACUCGCUUGUGCUAUUUUACCUACGCUUAGGAUGUUGAGUCGUAGAGCACGCAG